rnacentral:rRNA from 1 species
UUGGAAGUAAAAAAUCGUAACAAGGUCUCCGUAGGUGAACCUGCGGAGGGAUCAUUACACAAAUAUGAAGGCGGGCUGGAACCUCUCGGGGUUACAGCCUUGCUGAAUUAUUCACCCUUGUCUUUUGCGUACUUCUUGUUUCCUUGGUGGGUUCGCCCACCACUAGGACAAACAUAAACCUUUUGUAAUUGCAAUCAGCGUCAGUAACAAAUUAAUAAUUACAACUUUAACAACGGAUCUCUUGGUUCUGGCAUCGAUGAAGAACGCAGCGAAAUGCGAUAAGUAGUGUGAAUUGCAGAAUUCAGUGAAUCAUCGAAUCUUUGAACGCACAUUGCGCCCUUUGGUAUUCCAAAGGGCAUGCCUGUUCGAGCGUCAUUUGUACCCUCAAGCUUUGCUUGGUGUUGGGCGUCUUGUCUCUAGCUUUGCUGGAGACUCGCCUUAAAGUAAUUGGCAGCCGGCCUACUGGUUUGGAGCGCAGCACAAGUCGCACUCUCUAUCAGCAAAGGUCUAGCAUCCAUUAAGCCUUUUUUUCAACUUUGACCUCGAUCAGUACGA